UCCAGUAACUCCUGAGAAUUUCCUAACAAUUCCAGUAACUCCUGAGGAAAGAACUGUACAGGGUGUCCGUAAAGUUCUUCUGCAAUUUGAAAUAGUUUGACUUUAAUCACUGACCUAUGGCUUCACUAGAAGAGAAAGAAAGUUUUGUUCUUUGGUUGAUUCAACUAAAGUCUGCCACUGCUGUCCAAAGAAGGUUUAGAACCCAUUACAAGAAGGAAGCACCACACAGGAAUUCCACAUCAAAGUGGAUGGAAAAAUUGAAAGAAACGGGCUCUGUCUAUGAUAAGCCAUGGUCUGGGAGGCCACAUGUUAGUGAAGGAACUGUAGCAUCUGUAGAAGAAACCUUUCAGGCAAGUCCAAGAAUGUCAUUAAGACAGGUAUCCUUAGAGCUGAGGUUUCCAAAGUCUGCUGUACAGAAGAUUCUGCGGACAAGACUUCACAUAAAAGCAUACAUAGAAAAUUCAAGUGCAUCAAAUGUUAGGAAAGGAUUAUCAUGACUAAUGAGUAAUGUUGAUGUAAUGUUGAGUAAUGUUCUCUGAUGAAGGAACAUUCCACAUUCGUGGCAAAGUCAACAGGCAUAAUCGUCAUCUAUGGGGAACUGAAAAUCCACGAGUCUGUUGAACAUAAAAGAUUCUCCCAAAGUUAA